GCGCACCAGGCGAGAAACUUCACACUGUGCGAAAGCACGAUGAGGGAAUCCCAAGUGCUUGCACGUAAGUGUAAGCUGUUUCUCUGUCUAAAGCGCAGAGAGAGUAAGGGCUGGGUAAGACGGGUGCCAGCCGCCGCGGUAAUACCUGCAGCUCAAGUAGUGACCGUUAUUAUUGGGCCUAAAACGUCCGUAGCCGGUUUAAUAAAUGCCUGGGUAAAUUGUGUAGCUUAACUAUACGAAUUCCGGGUAGACUGUUAAACUUGAGACCGGGAGAAGUUAGAGGUACUCCUGGGGUAGAGGUGAAAAUUCUGUAAUCCUAGGGGGACCACCAGUGGCGAAGGCGUCUAACUAGAACGGGUCUGACGGUGAGGGACGAAGCCCUGGGGCGCAAAACGGGGAUUAGAUACCCGUGUAG
rnacentral:rRNA from 1 species